rnacentral:rRNA from 1 species
UACGGAGGGUGCAAGCGUUAUCCGGAUUUACUGGGUUUAAAGGGUGCGCAGGCGGAUAUGUAAGUCAGUGGUGAAAUCUCCAGGCUUAACCUGGAAAGUGCAGAGGGGACUGUUCAGCUAGAGGAUGGGAGAGGAGCGCGGAAUUCCCGGUGUAGCGGUGAAAUGCGUAGAGAUCGGGAGGAAGGCCGGUGGCGAAGGCGGCGCUCUGGAACAUUUCUGACGCUGAGGCUCGAAAGCGUGGGGAGCAAACAGG